UCCCCACACUUGGUUACCUAGCGGUUGAUUGGGUUUCCAGCCCCAGGGAGCAGGCCUGGUUUUGGGAUUGGGUUCAGAACUGACUUCUUCCGCGACCCUCAGUGUGUACCUCGGUGUGUAUCUGUGGACCUCUGUGUAUCUUAGCACUGGUGUCUUGCUGAGUCUCCUCACACUGAAUGUACGCCCCGAUGCUUGCUGAUACUGACGGCAGCUCACAUGGCACGCGGCCAGGAAUAACAGAGAAGGAACGUGACCUCAGCGAAGGCCCACAGUGUCAGUUAGGAGGGACACAGAAACGGAAGAAUCCAGGUGACAGCCCCUGCUGUCUCCUCACCCCUCACACCCGUCCUGCCCUUUGAGUGACACGCCUGAUUUCCAAUUCCAUGUCAGGCCUGCUCAGUGGGCCUUCUGCGUGGUCACUGUUAGCUUUUUAUCCUGACAAAGGUUCUGUGUCCGAAGCUUCACCAACUUCAAGAUGGAAACUGCACCAGUACUGAAUAUGAACAUACUUUUUUCUUGUCACGAUUCCAUAAAUAAUACAGUAAAACAA